CAUGCCGUAAACGAUGAGUGCUAAGUGUUAGGGGGUUUCGACCCCUUCUGUGCCGCAGUAAACACAAUAAGUACUCCGCCUGGGAAGUACGAUCGCAAGAUUAAAACUCAAAGGAAUUGACGGGGGCCCGCACAAGCAGCGGAGCAUGUGGUUUAAUUCGAAGCAACGCGAAGAACCUUACCUGGACUUGACAUACCCUGAAUAUCUUAGAGAUAAGAGAAGCCCUUCGGGGCAGGGAUACAGGUGG
rnacentral:rRNA from 1 species